rnacentral:piRNA from 1 species
UCGAAAUGCCGGUGCCUCUCAAGUCCAAGC